rnacentral:rRNA from 1 species
CACGUAGGGCGCGAGCGUUGUCCGGAAUUAUUGGGCGUAAAGAGCUCGUAGGCGGCCUGUUGCGUCCGCUGUGAAAGCCCGGGGCUUAACCCCGGAUCGGCAGUGGAUACGGGCAGGCUAGAGGUAGGUAGGGGAGAAUGGAAUUCCCGGUGUAGCGGUGAAAUGCGCAGAUAUCGGGAGGAACACCGGUGGCGAAGGCGGUUCUCUGGGCCUUACCUGACGCUGAGGAGCGAAAGCGUGGGGAGCGAACAGG